ACGUAGAAUUGAAAUAAACGAAAAAAAAAAACUCUAACUCAAAUCAUAACAAAAAUAUGUACAAUCAUUUUUAGUUUAUUAUUUUAUCAUCUCAACGGACAACGGUAAAGAAAAAUAAGGGUUUUGAUUUGUGGGAGUCAAGAUAGUAAACUCAUUAUAAUAGAUAAAUUGUACAUAUGCAUCAUCAUGUGGUG
rnacentral:sRNA from 1 species